AUGACUGAUGUUGAGCGUGAGGCUGUCGUUAGUGGUGGAGAUGAUGCUCGUGGUGUUCCAUUGAGUAGUGGGCGCAAUGUUGGUACCAGAGUUGCUGAUGAGGAUGUUGGUGCUGCCAGCAUACUUGAUGCCAAAUCGUCUGGUGUUGGUAUUGCUGGGAAUGAAAAUAUUUCUGAUUCUGAAGAUUUGCCGCCGGAAAAUUUCCCGCCUGGAGGGCUUGAUUACGGUGAUGCAUUGCAAGAUGCCUCUAGCGUGGAGGAGGAACUCCCGUCGUCAAACGCUGAUAGUGCAGAAGGUGCUAAUGCUGUUAAGGUUGAUUUGUUUUUCUUCGCUGUUACGAGGUUGCGCAUGAACCGUGGGAAACAUGACAAGUUGAUGUUUCAAAAUAGCGCAUGUGAUGCCAGUGUUGGUUCUAUUGCUAAAGCGUUUGUCCCCACUGGCAUGCUCAACUCAGACAGUGCUGACAUUGUUUUAUAUUCCCUACGUCAGAAGUACCGAGACACUGACAAGUUGAUAGUUCCCAGAUGGGUGAAGCUUCUUUUCCCUACUUUUGAUCUGCCGUCAUUUGCGGCUACCAUGAAGCCUAGUGAAGAAUCUGGGCAUUGGUGCUUGAUUGUUCUGAAUUUGAGGUUCCGUCGUUUCGAGUGUCUUGAUUCACUACGCGAUGAAACCUGGAGUGAUGCAGCUAGAUUCUUAAGGACUAUGACAGAUAACAUAAGGAAGCUUUGGAGGGAGUCCAGCGAAGACAUGGCCAAACCGUUCUCGUCGGUGCAUAUUGAUGGUUUCUCUUGCGAGUUUGUGCGGGUGAUGCAGCAGAAAAACACCCACGGAGACAUUCUUAACAUUAGGAAGACUUUGCUGUAUACCUACGCAACUAGCGAUUUGUUUGAUGUUGACUUCCGGGGUUUGUUUGGCAUCGAACCCUGUGAGUGGCUGGAUCUUGCUGAGCAUGACUACAGGAUCUUUGGCAGCCAGUUCUCGGAGCUCGACUGGUGUUAUGAAGGGGCGGUUAGGAGCUCUGAAAGGUUCUACGGCUGCUUGUGCAGAGAGACCCUCUACACCCAAGAAUCCCAUUGUGGAAUUGAUAGACAGCGAUGA
rnacentral:rRNA from 1 species